rnacentral:sRNA from 20 species
ACGCCAAAUGGUAAAGAUAAAGUAAUUUCACCAUAAUAACAAUAGUUAAGGUAUAAAAAAGAAAUUAAGGUAUAAU